GUAUAUAGAGUCCUUUCCUAUUUGUUUGCUCGUAAAAUAACGGUGCAUAUGGAAGUGUUUUCUGCCGAGGUGGAUUUUCCAGUUAAGUACUCUUGAUAGAUCGUCGAGUAAGCUCUGUGGAUUCUCUGUUUGCCGCAGUUAGUUUUGCGCAAAGUUUGAAGUCUUUAUGCAUAUAAGGGAUGCAUAGAGUCCAGGAUUUCGAAGUUUCGGUUUUGAAACUUCGAACUUCAGGGGCCUUCCUAUGUUGGUUACGCUACUGAAAAAGUUUAGACUCUGGACCACUUUUAACAACAAAUACAUUUUCGGAACUUCUCAGAUUUGAAACUUUGCCCAUGCAGCGCGUGAAAUUUAAAUGCGAAUAUGUGCACAUGAGGCGCAUUCAGAAAGUAAGUGCAGUUUUUGCAAACAUUAGCACUGCCGGACUGCGUUCACCGUUGUGGUGGAUGUGAGCGAGUUCAUUUGCUCCACUGGCUAGUCACGGACGCCAUCUUGUGACCAUAAAGAGGGUGUUGACGCAUCUUUCUCAGUAUUUAAAAUGUUUGAGUCCGUACAGCGGUCCGCCGCCUCUCGUCGUGUUUGCCAUGUGCGGUCGAAGGGACAGUCCCCGGACAGCUCACUUAGAACAGGCGAACGGAAACGUUUUCUCGAAGAUGAAGAGGAAGAUGAAAGCGAUGAAGACGGUACGAAGCCGUGAUGGGCCCGACCUUCAACUUGUCUUUAUCCCAUAACGCGCGUUAAAUUCACUUUUCUGGGUAUUGCGGAAACUAUACAAAAUGAUCCGCUCUGUGGAAAAGAAGGAACUGAAGCUACACUGCUCUGUGAUGUUGGCGCUGUAGAUAUCUCUCGAGCGAAGGAAAAAGACACCCGUCAGCUCUCGAGUCUGAACACACACACACACACUGAAAUUUAUUUACAGAACACAGUACAAGACAUAUGUACAAAACGUUAAAAGCUGCUGCAGUCACACUGGUUAAACAUAAAACACCAAACACGAACAUUCCCUCAAACAUGUUUGACGAAAAUGCCUGACAAACAUCCCCCAUACAUGUAUGGCUCAACAGCUGUGGUCACACUGCGAAAACGCCGUCAGAACAUGUUCAAAGACACGCGUGUAUAACCAGUGUGACCGUGCCGUGAUACAAAAGUGCGCUUCGGUUGUGUUUGAAAGCUUGUUUUCAAACACUUGAACGUGUAUUUGGACACUGUCGAAAAACAGCUCAUGGGAUUUUGGAGAAAUCAAAUAAAUUUCUUGAUAUUCAUCAAAGAAUAUGUUGCUUUUUACGUGUUUGAGUGUCAACAACAUUGGGCAUCAUUGAAAAUGGCGAGUUAUUUCGGUGUGGAGCUUCGCCGACCUCCUCCGAUCUGUAGACUUUGGUGGGCGACUAGCGUGAAAUACAUUUCGCAGAAGGUGAGUACCUGUUUACUAUCAGUGCUUCAACUCAUCGAGCUAAGUUUUGCGUCGCAAGAACAGCACGACGCCGAUCUCGGCGUCACCGGGUUAUCGUGAAAUCAUGAUCGGCGCAGUUUUGUGCGUCUUGUUUGUUUGUGCUGUUCUCGCGCCGCAAAACUUGUCUGCUAUGUACGAACUGCCCAAAUGUUAGUACAAUGCAAUGGUUGUUUUUCUAGUCAAGUGGAUAACGCUUGUGUUUGGCGUUUGCUUUCGAGGAGUGAAAUGUCGACGCAAAAGGCCCGGAGACGGCAGCGAUCAGUCUAGGCUUCGCCCGACGCCCGUUUCAUAAACAUGGUGUUACUCGCAGCCGGAAUGCCGAAAGCCACAAGAAACUCGAACCCGGACACGAAUUUCACGCCAACUACAGUGGAAUAGGCAACAUAACGUAUUGGCACAAGUGAGGAGCUGAAUGAGUCACCACAAUACACCAAGUAGCUGUUCUUCCAGCGACAACUGCAGCACGGCAGCAAUCAACACUGAAAAGCGAAACAAGCUCCAGUGAAAACACAAAGUGCCGAUCAAGAGCCUCGGUCAGUGUCAGUAAGGAGUGCUCGCAUCAUUGUCUCCUGUGUAUUUCUCCCAUUUCGUGAUAAGCUACCAGUGCUUGUUUGUGUUGCACAUGUUUAAGCCAGUGUAGUCACACAAGUAUAUCCAAUGUUUAUUUAUUACUAUAUUGUACACAGUAUUUAUUAGUACUCAUUCCUAAUAUACACAAUAUUUAUAUUAUAUUAUAUAUAUUUAUCAAAGCGCAUUGUUUUAAAUUACGUAAUGUAAUGGACGAUGCCAGUUCGUUCUUACACUCUCGGACUGUUUAUUGUCUGAACACAAGAUUCAUGCAAAAUAAUUUCAACGUUAAUCUGGCUGUUAUCAAUUCUGAGCUUUGUCAACAUCUUGCUGACUGUCACAGUUGUUGUGCUGACAUUUACUCAGCCUUCGUGUUGAGGAAAGAAAUAAAUUGGGGCAAAACCUUUCUUCUUGAACAAGUGGAAGUUGCAAGUAGGGAUAAUUGUGUUAUGUGUUCUCGUUUCCUUCGCUAUUGAAGUUUCUUGCUUCAAAAUGUAUUGGUAUUGAUUAAAAUAUUUUUGUUUAAGAA